CCGACGCUCGCGGGAAUAGCGACCUCGCUCAGCGGCCAACUCCUUAUCCCUAUCGUGCUUCUCCUUUCUAGCCGCUUCAAGCCCAGCCUCUUUUAUCUUGAUCGUCUCUUCCGCUUCCUUAAGGUCCAACGUCAUCUUCUGCAAAGCUUUUUCGUACUCCAUCACGAGAGCAUUCUUCCGAGCAGCAGCCUAAACCAAGAGAAAGCCAACAAAAAGAAAAGGAUCAAUAGAUGAUAAGAAGAUCGUCACCCAAAGGAACAAGAUAAGUAAGCAAUCAAACACAAUCCCAC
rnacentral:lncRNA from 1 species